rnacentral:rRNA from 1 species
UACGUAGGGUGCGAGCGUUGUCCGGAAUUAUUGGGCGUAAAGAGCUCGUAGGCGGUGUGUCGCGUCGGCCGUGAAAACCUGGGGCUCAACUCUGGGCGUGCGGUCGAUACGGGCAUCACUUGAGUUCGGCAGGGGAGACUGGAAUUCCUGGUGUAGCGGUGAAAUGCGCAGAUAUCAGGAGGAACACCGAUUGCGAAGGCAGCUCGCUGGGACGUCACUGACGCUGAGACGCGAAAGCGUGGGGAGCAAACAGG